rnacentral:rRNA from 1 species
UACGAAGGGGGCUAGCGUUGCUCGGAAUCACUGGGCGUAAAGCGCACGUAGGCGGAUUGUUAAGUCAGGGGUGAAAUCCUGGAGCUCAACUCCAGAACUGCCUUUGAUACUGGCGAUCUCGAGUCCGGGAGAGGUGAGUGGAACUGCGAGUGUAGAGGUGAAAUUCGUAGAUAUUCGCAAGAACACCAGUGGCGAAGGCGGCUCACUGGCCCGGUACAGACGCUGAGGUGCGAAAGCGUGGGGAGCAAACAGG